rnacentral:rRNA from 1 species
UACGUAGGGUGCGAGCGUUGCCCCGGAUUUAUUGGGCGUAAAGAGCGCGCAGGCGGUCGUUCAAGUCGAGUGUGAAAGCCCCCCGGCUCAACUGGGGAGGGUCAUUCGAUACUGAUCGACUCGAAGGCAGGAGAGGGAAGCGGAAUUCCCGGUGUAGUGGUGAAAUGCGUAGAUAUCGGGAGGAACACCAGUGGCGAAGGCGGCUUCCUGGCCUGUUCUUGACGCUGAGGCGCGAAAGCUAGGGGAGCAAACGGG